AUUGAACGCUGGCGGCAUGCCUUACACAUGCAAGUCGAACGGCAGCACGGGAGCAAUCCUGGUGGCGAGUGGCGAACGGGUGAGUAAUAUAUCGGAACGUGCCCAGUCGUGGGGGAUAACGCAGCGAAAGCUGUGCUAAUACCGCAUACGAUCUAAGGAUGAAAGCGGGGGAUCGCAAGACCUCGCGCGAUUGGAGCGGCCGAUAUCAGAUUAGCUAGUUGGUGGGGUAAAGGCCCACCAAGGCGACGGUCUGUAGCUGGUCUGAGAGGACGGCCAGCCACACUGGAAGUGAGACACGGUCCAGACUCCUGCGGGAGGAAGCAGUGGGGAAUUUUGGACAAUGGGGGCAAGCCUGAUCCAGCAAUGCCGUGUGCAGGAUGAAGGCCUUCGGGUUGGAGACUGCUUUUGUACGGAACGAAACAGCCCUUUCUAAUACAGGGGGAUAAUGACGGUACCGUAAGAAUAAGCACCGGCUAACUACGUGCCAGCCGCCGCGGUAACAC
rnacentral:rRNA from 1 species